UUUCUAAUAUGAUUGUUGUAUUAUUUAUUUAUUUUUUAUAUGUUUUGUCGCUGCUUCUUUAAAGCAUAACUAAAGUUAGUAGAUCAAACAUGGAGUAUGGCUGCUCUGUCAAGGAAGAAUUGGGAAUUACUUUGCAAAGGGAUCAGUAUAACCUACCAGAUUUUGAAAAUGAGUUCGCAAACGCAAAGUUCUGUGUUAUCAAAUCUUACAAUUGAAGAUGACAAUCAUAAGAGCAUUAAAUAUGAUGUAUGGGCAAGCACUCCAAAUGGCAAUAAUAAGCUAGGUGCAGCAUUCCGUGAUGCAGAACGAAGAUCAGGUCAAUGGAAGUGGACAAUUUGUUGAGAUGGUUGGGCAGAGACACUCAAGAGAUUGGACCAAUUUGAGGAGGAUGAGGACCAAAAUGCCUUAUUUCACUUCUCUACUGACCAUGACAAGGAGGGGAAAAUUAAGUGUGCGGUCCUUCCAAUAUAACAACUUGAGAUUAAUGAGGAAGGCGUUCAAAGAUUGGAACAAAAUGAUGUGGAUGAAGACCAAAAUGACUUUUUGAAUCAUAAGGGAGAGGAACCACACCUCCUCUAUCAAAUUCAAAAUCUCUAUCUCUUCCUUGUUGCCUAUGCUAACCAAACUCAAAAUGACAACAGAGGGAUGCAAAUUCAAGCAUGAAUAAUUGCAAAUAUGGACAUCAAAUUUCAAUGAUAAGCAUUGAAAAUUUUGGUGCAAUCAUUCUGGCGAAAGAACUCAAACUUACACUUGGAUCUAGUGCAAAGAUUGGCUACACUUGAUAAGGAAUCACAAGAAAGACGCAGAAGGCUAUAAUGUUUGAGAAGUUUCAUUCUGAAAAUCCAUUGCUUCUCAGUCUGUGCAGAACUCUCUUCCCUAACAACCAUAAGUCUGUCUGGUGUGGACCUCACACACUGGUUCAGCGCGACGUUUAUGCUCGUACAAGUUCUAUUCUUGCUGCUAUUGAAACUUUGAUGACGUAGGUACUUUUUGAUUACUUCACAUUGUCACUACAAAGGAUCUGAAGCAAUCUUAUGCUUUGCCUAGAUCAAAUAUAGCGUUACAGUGUGGAAUGUUUGACAUAAAUACCUACAUACAAAUGGAAUGUCCGGCCGUUAGUGGUUCUUCUCAGCUGAGGAUGAUAAUUUGCUCUGGUAUAGCUAGGGUGGGAAUGACAUACCUCAAGAUCGAUAACAUGAUCUUGAUUUACAAUCCUGUGUCAGCAUUUGUAGUGAUCUAUUGGGGAUGAGGGAAAAUAGAUACAUUGGUAUUUCUUAUUGCGAAAAUGAUUUAAUAUUGAGCAAAGAUUCUUGCA